rnacentral:rRNA from 1 species
AAGAACGCUGGCGGCGUGCCUAAUACAUGCAAGUCGAGCGAACAGACGAGGAGCUUGCUCCUCUGACGUUAGCGGCGGACGGGUGAGUAACACGUGGAUAACCUACCUAUAAGACUGGGAUAACUUCGGGAAACCGGAGCUAAUACCGGAUAAUAUAUUAAACCGCAUGGUUCAAUAGUGAAAGACGGUUUUGCUGUCACUUAUAGAUGGAUCCGCGCCGCAUUAGCUAGUUGGUAAGGUAACGGCUUACCAAGGCAACGAUGCGUAGCCGACCUGAGAGGGUGAUCGGCCACACUGGAACUGAGACACGGUCCAGACUCCUACGGGAGGCAGCAGUAGGGAAUCUUCCGCAAUGGGCGAAAGCCUGACGGAGCAACGCCGCGUGAGUGAUGAAGGUCUUCGGAUCGUAAAACUCUGUUAUUAGGGAAGAACAAAUGUGUAAGUAACUAUGCACGUCUUGACGGUACCUAAUCAGAAAGCCACGGCUAACUACGUG